GAUGAACGCUGACAGAAUGCUUAACACAUGCAAGUCAACUUGAACUUCGGUUUGGGUGGCGGACGGGUGAGUAACGCGUAAAGAACUUGCCUCACAGAUAGGGACAACAUUUGGAAACGAAUGCUAAUACCUGAUAUUAUGAUUAUAUGGCAUCGUAUAAUUAUGAAAGCUAUAUGCGCUGUGAGAGAGCUUUGCGUCCCAUUAGCUAGUUGGAGAGGUAACGGCUCACCAAGGCGAUGAUGGGUAGCCGGCCUGAGAGGGUGAUCGGCCACAAGGGGACUGAGACACGGCCCUUACUCCUACGGGAGGCAGCAGUGGGGAAUAUUGGACAAUGGACCAAGAGUCUGAUCCAGCAAUUCUGUGUGCACGAUGAAGUUUUUCGGAAUGUAAAGUGCUUUCAGUUGGGAAGAAAAAAAUGACGGUACCAACAGAAGAAGUGACGGCUAAUACGUG
rnacentral:rRNA from 1 species